UACGUAGGGUGCAAGCGUUGUCCGGAAUUAUUGGGCGUAAAGAGUUCGUAGGCGGUUUGUCGCGUCCGUUGUGAAAGCCCCGGGCUUAACCUGGGAAGUGCAUCGCAAACGACAAUACUGGAGUAUAUGAGAGGGUGGCGGAAUUUCCGGUGUAGCGGUGAAAUGCGUAGAUAUUGGGAGGAACAUCGGUGGCGAAGGCGGCUACCUGGACGGGUACUGACGCUGAUGCGCGAAAGCUAGGGGAGCAAACAGG
rnacentral:rRNA from 1 species